GUGAAUCAUCGAAUUUUUGAACGCAAAUUGCACUUUCUGGUAUUCCGGAAAGUAUGCCUGUUUGAGGGUCAGUUAAAUAAAAAUCGGUGUGAUUUCUGGUAAUGGUGAUGCAUCGGGAUUGAGUCGUCUUUACCUGUUUGUUUAAGUGACUUAAAAUUAUGUACGAUUUUUGAACGUAUUUAAAUUAUUUACUUACGUUCGUGAUAUCGCAUGUUAGGUGCGGUCAUCCACAUGAUUUCGCGUCUAUAAUUUUUUCAUUAUUUGACCUCAAAUCAGUUAAUAAUACGCGCUUAGCUUAAG
rnacentral:misc_RNA from 1 species